rnacentral:rRNA from 1 species
AGCAGCCGCGGUAAUUCCAGCUCCAAUAGCGUAUAUUAAAGUUGUUGCAGUUAAAAAGCUCGUAGUUGAAUUUCGGGAUCAAUUUAUCGGUCGUACCAAUGGUAUGAACUGGUACAAUUGGUUUCUCCCUUCUGACGAAGCAUGAUGUCAUUAAUUUGGUGUCGUGGGGAAUCAGGACUGUUACUUUGAAAAAAUUAGAGUGUUUAAAGCAAGCAUUAGCUUGAAUACAUUAGCAUGGAAUAAUGAAAUAGGACGUUUGAUCCUAUUUCGUUGGUUUCUAGGAUCGACGUAAUGAUUAAUAGGGAUAGUUGGGGGCAUUAGUAUUCAAUUGUCAGAGGUGAAAUUCUUGGAUUUAUUGAAGACUAACUACUGCGAAAGCAUUUGCCAAGGAUGUUUCAUAAUCAAGAACGAAGUUAGGGGAUCGAAGACGAUCAGAUACCGUCGUAGUCCUUAAACCAUAAACUAUGCCGACUAGGGAUCGGAUGAUGUUUAAUUUUUUUAAUAGUACUCUAUUCGGCGU